CCUGAAUCAUGGUUCCCUGCUGGAAGUGAGAAGAGGAACUACAGCUCUAGAAUUUCUAUAAAGGAGGGCUAGGAGGGGGGUGAAAUCUCACUAGAAAGAUUCCUUGAGAUUUUCUACACAGACAAUCAUGUGAUCUGCAAAGAGAGGGCAGUUUUAUUCUCUCCUUUCAAAUCUGGUGGAACCUUUCCUGCCUUGGCAAUGGAGGAAGCAUGGAGAUGGAGCCUCCCUUUGCAGGAUUCCUGAGUGCAGAAGCCACAAAACAAAGAAACCACAAUCCUGCACCUCACCCCA